UGGGAAACCUGACGCGGUCACUGCCAACCUGACGGUGGGUUCAUGGCAGCCACCAAGAAAGCAGUUGUAGGGCCGUUGGUAGGGGCAGUGGACCAGGGUACGAGCUCGACGCGUUUUUUGGUUUUCAAUUCCAAAACAGCGGAACUACUUAGUCAUCAUCAAGUGGAAAUAACACAGCAGUUCCCCAAAGAAGGAUGGGUGGAACAAGACCCGAUGGAGAUUCUGCAGUCUGUCCACGAGUGUAUAGAGAAAACGUGUGAGAAGCUGAGACAACUCAACGUGGACAUCUCCAACAUAAAGGCCAUUGGUGUCAGCAACCAGAGGGAGACCACAGUGGUGUGGGACAAGCUGACCGGAGAGCCUCUCUACAAUGCGGUGGUGUGGCUUGACCUCAGAACCCAGUCCACCGUGGAGGACCUCCGUAAAUGCAUCCCAGUAAGAAACAACUUCGUCAAGGCCAAGACUGGCCUUCCAAUCAGCACCUACUUCAGCGCAGUCAAGCUUCGUUGGCUCCUUGCUAAUGUGCAAAAAGUUCAAAAGGCCGUUGAAGAGAAGAGGGCUCUUUUUGGGACGAUUGACUCGUGGCUUCUCUGGAGUUUGACAGGAGGGGUGGAGGGAGGCGUCCACUGCACGGAUGUGACAAACGCCAGUCGGACGAUGCUUUUCAACAUUCAUUCCUUGAAAUGGGAUAAAGAGCUCUGCGAAUUUUUUGGAAUCCCAGUGGAAAUUCUUCCCAAUAUCCGGAGUUCUUCGGAGAUAUAUGGCCUAAUGAAAACUGGGGCCUUGGAAGGUGUGCCACUAUCCGGAUGUUUGGGGGACCAGUCUGCAGCUUUAGUGGGACAAAUGUGCUUCCAGGAUGGACAAGCUAAAAAUACAUAUGGAACAGGAUGUUUCUUAUUGUGUAACACGGGCCAUAAGUGUGUCUUCUCUGAACAUGGUCUUCUGACCACAGUGGCCUACAAACUUGGCAGGGACAAACCGGUGUGUUAUGCACUGGAAGGUUCUGUAGCUAUAGCUGGUGAGGUUGUUCGUUGGCUCAGAGACAAUCUUGGAAUUAUUAAGAGGUCAGAGGAAAUUGAAAAGCUUGCUAAAGAAGCAGGUACUUCCUAUGACUGCUACUUCGUCCCAGCAUUUUCAGGGUUAUAUGCACCUUAUUGGGAUUCCAGUGCCAGAGGGAUAAUCUGUGGUCUCACUCAGUUCACCAAUAAGAGCCACAUUGCCUUUGCUGCCUUAGAAGCUGUUUGUUUCCAAACUCGAGAGAUUCUGGAUGCCAUGAAUCGUGACUGUGGGAUUCCACUCAGUCAUUUGCAGGUGGAUGGAGGAAUGACUGGCAACAGGCUUCUUAUGCAGCUGCAGGCAGACAUUCUGUGCAUUCCCGUGGUGAAGCCUUCCAUGCCUGAGACAACUGCCCUGGGAGCUGCCAUGGCAGCUGGGGCCGCAGAAGGAGUUGGUGUGUGGAGUUUGGAACCCAAGGAUUUGUCAGCCGUCCUCAUGGAGCGGUUCGAACCUCAGAUCAAGGCUGAGGAAAGUGAAAUUCGCUAUUCUACAUGGAAGAAAGCUGUGAUGAGGUCAAUGGGCUGGGUUACAACUCAUUCUCCAGAAAGAGGUGAUCCGAGUGUCUUCUGUAGUCUGCCCUUGGGCUUUUUUAUAGUGAGCAGCAUGGUGAUGUUGAUUGGAGCAAGGUAUAUCUCUGGCAUCCCCUGA